UAUUUUACACAAGCACCACAACAUGCGCAGUCAUUUCCUGCACCGAUACCUUCUCUAGUGAUAUAUUUCACACGGCUACCACCCCUUACAUCGUAUUAUACACCUUAUGCGUCAUCGCCCCAUGCGACACCAUAUAGUGGCCCGCUGAUAGUGUCGCAAACACCCCCAACAACAUUAUUUUUUUGAGUUGGGUCGUCCUCGCAAACGCCGACUUGGUCAGGAAGGGAUGCACUAUGGCUUCUGGAACAUGGUCCUAGUCAUCCACGGAGGGAGGAGAUGAGGUCAUCGAUCAACCCCAACGUGCACAUGAAGAAGAGGCUGAAGUCCCAAUGGAGUUGCAAACCCAAAC
rnacentral:lncRNA from 1 species